GUCUCUGGACCUUAUCCCGCUCUUAGACCAGCACUACACUCAUCAUUAUAGAAGAGAUGGAUAAAUAUAAAAAUACUUCUUCAUUUGGAUCAGGUUUAAUAAGCAAUGGAGUAGAAUUGAGGUAAUUCUUUAAGUCAGCAAAGGUGCUCUGACACUCAUCCAUCCAUCGAAAGUCCUUUGGUCAUCUCAGGAUCUGGUAGAAGGGCAG
rnacentral:lncRNA from 1 species